UACGAAAGGUGCAAGCGUUGUUCGGAAUCACUGGGCGUAAAGCGCACGUAGGCGGGUUCGUGUGUCGAUUGUGAGAUCCCUGGGCUUAACCUGGGAAUGGCAGUCGAAACUGCGGAUCUUGAAUGCCUGAGAGGAUGGGGGAAUUCCUGGUGGAGAAGUGAAAUUCGUAGAUAUCAGGAGGAACACCUGAGGCGAAGGCGCCUGUCUGGCAGUGCAUUGACGCUGAGGUGCGAAAGCGUGGGGAGCAAACAGG
rnacentral:rRNA from 1 species